rnacentral:rRNA from 1 species
GACGAACGCUGGCGGCGUGCUUAACACAUGCAAGUCGAACGGAAAGGCCCUGCUUUUGUGGGGUGCUCGAGUGGCGAACGGGUGAGUAACACGUGAGUAACCUGCCCUUGACUUUGGGAUAACUUCAGGAAACUGGGGCUAAUACCGGAUAGGAGCUCCUGCUGCAUGGUGGGGGUUGGAAAGUUUCGGCGGUUGGGGAUGGACUCGCGGCUUAUCAGCUUGUUGGUGGGGUAGUGGCUUACCAAGGCUUUGACGGGUAGCCGGCCUGAGAGGGUGACCGGCCACAGUGGGACUGAGAUACGGCCCAGACUCCUACGGGAGGCAGCGGUGGGGAAUAUUGCACAAUGGGCGGAAGCCUGAUGCAGCAACGCCGCGUGCGGGAUGACGGCCUUCGGGUUGUAAACCGCUUUCGCCUGUGACGAAGCGGGAGUGACGGUAAUGGGUAAAGAAGCACCGGCUAACUACGUG